UACGUAGGGUGCGAGCGUUGCCCGGAUUUAUUGGGCGUAAAGGGCGCGUAGGCGGCCACGCACGUCCGUUGUGAAAUCGCCCGGCUCAACUGGGCGGGGUCAGCGGAUACGGUGUGGCUCGAGCAAGCUAGGGGGCAAUGGAAUUCCCGGUGUAGUGGUGAAAUGCGCAGAUAUCGGGAGGAACGACCGGUGGCGAAGGCGGUUCUCUGGGCCUUACCUGGACGCUGAGGAGCGAAAGCGUGGGGAGCGAACAGA
rnacentral:rRNA from 1 species